rnacentral:rRNA from 1 species
UACGUAGGGUGCGAGCGUUAAUCGGAAUUACUGGGCGUAAAGCGUGCGCAGGCGGUUUUGUAAGUCUGACGUGAAAUCCCCGGGCUCAACCUGGGAAUUGCGUUGGAGACUGCAAGGCUAGAAUCUGGCAGAGGGGGGUAGAAUUCCACGUGUAGCAGUGAAAUGCGUAGAGAUGUGGAGGAACACCGAUGGCGAAGGCAGCCCCCUGGGUCAAGAUUGACGCUCAUGCACGAAGGCGUGGGGAGCAAACAGG